UCCUCAGUGGUGUAAUGGUAGCGCACGCCCCUGGUAUGGGUGAAACGCUGGCUCAACGCCCGCCUGAGAUCGGAU